rnacentral:tRNA from 1 species
GGUGAGAUGACUGAGAGGCCGAAAGUACUCCCCUGCUAAGGGAGCAUGCGCCCAAAAGCGCAUCGAGGGUUCGAAUCCCUCUCUCACCGCCA